rnacentral:rRNA from 1 species
AUUGAACGCUGGCGGCAGGCCUAACACAUGCAAGUCGAGCGGAUGAAGGGAGCUUGCUCCUGGAUUCAGCGGCGGACGGGUGAGUAAUGCCUAGGAAUCUGCCUGGCAGUGGGGGAUAACGUCCGGAAACGGGCGCUAAUACCGCAUACGUCCUGAGGUAGAACGUGGGGGAUCUUCGGACCUCACGCUAUCAGAUGAGCCUAGGUCGGAUUAGCUAGUUGGUGGGGUAAAGGCCUACCAAGGCGACGAUCCGUAGCUGGUCUGAGAGGAUGAUCAGUCACACUGGAACUGAGACACGGUCCAGACUCCUACGGGAGGCAGCAGUGGGGAAUAUUGGGCAAUGGGCGAAAGCCUGAUCCAGCAAUGCCGCGUGAGUGAAGAAGGUCUUCGGAUUGUAAAGCACUUUAAGUUGGGAGGAAGGGCAGUAAGUUAAUACCUUGCUGUUUUGACGUUACCAACAGAAUAAGCACCGGCUAACUUCGUG